rnacentral:lncRNA from 1 species
UGGGUGCGCUUAAAAAUUAAGUUACCAGAGACUCUUCACCAUACGUCUCUUGAAUAUUAUUGUAGGUACCAAGGUACACACUAAUGAUUCUCACACAUACAAUAAAGUUCGCACCGGUUUUUUCCAACUCUAGCUCAGGGAUAUGUACAAUUGUUAGCAUGCCCCAAACUUAUGCAACGAUAACAAUCAGCAAGCCGUUGCUGCCCUCAAGUUUAACUCCUCUCCACGCAUCAGAUAUUUUCCCAAUUGAGCAACGGACUUAUCACAAAAAUAGAAUUUUCUACCAAAACAGUAUUUGAGCCCAUGAUACCAAGUAUGCAUACACAAAAUGAAAGAAACAAGCAAUACGCUUGUUAACAGUGCAGACCUUCUACUCAAGGUGGUAGAGGAGCCGCAUAAGGUGCCAGCAGCAAGCACACCCCCGCACCGUCAUCUACACCUUCCUCUCCUGUCCUCACAUUCACAACUACAACCAAGAAUAGCAACAAAGUCACCCUCUUCGUUCUCAAAAGUAAGGAAAAUAAAACAAUUUUGAGACGGUGGACAACUGACCUUCUUGUCGAGCUUGAUCUUUCUCAUCCCACGUAAUCCAUGUCAGAUCGCCACCGCUUCCCGAAAAAUCAGCAACCUCCUUGCUCUCCCCACCUCCUAAUAUUAAAAUAUCGACAUGAUAGCAGCAACAACACAGGGAGGGUCUUGAGAAUGAAGUGCCAUGUUCAUACCGAAGGAAAAUAAUCAUGCUCAAAUAGAAAGAUAUGAAUUAUUAGUAGAAGGAAGACACCUAUUAUAGCAUGCAUAACUAUUCAGUAUGAUCGCAAUGGUGAAUAAAAUUGACAAAUACUUUAUGGGAGGGGGAAGAACGACCACGGAAAAGAGGUGACGGUGAUGGUCGGUUGUGGGCUCAGUUUUGUUGAGGCUACGAUAACUUCCAAUAGCGAGACUUGAAGCCAUGCAUGGUGAUCGUGGAGUCCGUCUAUUUGAGUCGGCGCACGCGUCCAUCAAACCCGUACACAACUACAUGAUUUGGAGGGAGUGACUGGCCAGCCACCACCAGAGCACUUGGUGGUAAACAAUAAAUCAAUAUCUUCCUCUCGCGCGAUUAGAAAGUUAGCGUAUUCCAAAAACAAAAGAAACAAGGCUAAAAAUGAACUGCUUGAACUCCUCUACCAAGAAUAAGCGGUCAUAGAAAGUCCAUUGCUGGCACCUCACUUCUUCUAUCAAAAUGUGUUCAACUACAUUAAUGUUUCAAAAUUGCAAGUGUACUCAUAGGUGAAAAUUGAAAUUUUCUACGAUGGACAUGUAAAACAGUCUAGGUGAAUUAGGGAAAGUCGGUAGCACAACGAAUGAAUAACCAAGCUGACAACACAAAUAAUGAUUAACUAAGUUGAUAGCACAAACAAAAGUAACCACUGAUAGCAAAGAACAAUAUGAUCUACGAGUACAUGAGGAAGAAAUAUGUAAAAAAUAAUGGUAGCUAUCUGACUGUUUAAGCAGUUCAUCUCAAGGGCAGACAUAGUCAGUAAACAAAUUGGUGAAAAGAAGACUGAAGUUGUACCGUAAUUCAUCCAUGGCAGCUAUGUAGGAUGCAUUAUGAUGUGGUUCACUCCGAAAGAGGCUCCCUAUCCAAUCCAAAACCUGAAAUCGAUUAAUUACUCAACGCCAGAUAAUCAAUGUACCACUACAUGGUACCAUGAAUCCAUAAUAACUAAUUAAUCUACAACAAUUCUAGACAUCAUUGACACUUAGACGUUGUAAAACCAAAUUACAGAUAGAUUUUCAGAUUAACCCGAGUCUAUAACCUUAUACGCACUACCACAUUCGAUGAACGGCGAAACAAUGUUCAGCACUACCACAUAUAUUGUGAAUCUUCCCUGAACUUUUCAGUUU